rnacentral:rRNA from 1 species
ACUCCUACGGGAGGCAGCAGUGGGGAAUAUUGCACAAUGGGCGGAAGCCUGAUGCAGCAACGCCGCGUGCGGGAUGACGGCCUUCGGGUUGUAAACCGCUUUCGCCUGUGACGAAGCGUGAGUGACGGUAAUGGGUAAAGAAGCACCGGCUAACUACGUGCCAGCAGCCGCGGUGAUACGUAGGGUGCGAGCGUUGUCCGGAUUUAUUGGGCGUAAAGGGCUCGUAGGUGGUUGAUCGCGUCGGAAGUGUAAUCUUGGGGCUUAACCCUGAGCGUGCUUUCGAUACGGGUUGACUUGAGGAAGGUAGGGGAGAAUGGAAUUCCUGGUGGAGCGGUGGAAUGCGCAGAUAUCAGGAGGAACACCAGUGGCGAAGGCGGUUCUCUGGGCCUUUCCUGACGCUGAGGAGCGAAAGCGUGGGGAGCGAACAGGCUUAGAUACCCUGGUAGUCCACGCUGUAAACGGUGGGUACUAGGUGUGGGGUCCAUUCCACGGGUUCCGUGCCGUAGCUAACGCUUUAAGUACCCCGCCUGGGGAGUACGGCCGCAAGGCUAAAACUGAAAGGAAUUGACGG